ensembl:lncRNA
AGUUUCAGGAUUUGCUGUUCAGAUUAGAAGCUCUUGAGCUGCUGUUUUGAUUAAAAAAGAAAAUUAAUCUCUUAAGAUUAGAUUAAUUUUCUGAAUGAACGUUCUUAAAUCUGAUGCCAACAUAAAAGGCAGCUUUAAAGUGAUAGAGGUUUUUAGUCAAUGUACUCCAGUACUAUGUAACAAUAGGGAUCUUUGAGAGAGAACUCUUUGGUAACCUGGGGUGAGAGCCUGUGGAUAUAGAGACUGCUGCAGAAUUCUAGCUGCACACUUUACUAAACAGAUCUUUACUUGCCUUGUUCAGCAAAGUUAAAAAAUCAUUAUGUUUCACAACCGAUAUUUCAUUUCAUUCUAACCCUCCCAUAGGUUGUCAUUGCAAUGGAGGUCAAAUCCAUCCCAACGCCUCAGUGUAAUCACUUCAGGUGGAGAUGUGGAUAUAAGGUGAUAGUGGUAAUGCUAAGUCACAGCUUGAAGCAGUGAUUGAGCACCUGGUGGGAAGGCAGGGCCAACCCAGGGGAACUCAGGUGCAUGCAAUGCAUUGAGUGACCGGAAGGGGUAGAGCCAGGAUCCAUCCCUUCCCUCAUUUAAGGGUUGGCAGUGGAGGUGACAGGGUCUUACUGGGGAACCCUGCCUGCUUGAAGCCUUCUAAAGAUUCCUCUGUGAGGAGACUAUUUUUCCCCUCCAGUUCAUUGGAAACAAUUCACUAGGCAUGCUCCAAAGAUACGAGGCUGUGCCUUGCAUAAUGUUUUUGCAACCUGGAGGGACAGAGGAGAGAAGGACUUGGCUCGGAAAGGCUUGGGGCAGUGCAAAGACAUUUCUGCGAGGUCAAGCAAAAGCUGGGAAAAAAGUCUGAAGAAGGGAAAUGAUGGUAUACCAUUAUUAAUUUGGAGGGGGCGAGAGACACAGAAAAGUCAUUCAUCACUCCCAGCCCCCUCUGAAGAGAGCUAUCACGGCUUGUCCACAGGCCUAAUAAUCUUCAUCAUUUUGAAAGGGAAACAUCCCGCAAGGAAAAGAGUCCGGGAAGCUGGAGCAGCACUGUAGCAAUGCCUGCUUCAUGUUGUUCCACGGGGCUUCCCUUUGUAAAGAAAACUCAUCAGCCUUGCUAAUAUAACCACUCAGCAAUGCCAUGUCAAAAUGUGAGUAAAUUAAUAACCACAGUCUUUUCAACACAUCUUUGUGUGCAAACAGAUGUUUAGAAAGAAUCCAGCGUGCUGCAGGAAGAAGCAUCAGCAAACGAUAAGGUCUAAGCAGUUGGGAUCUGGAGCCUUAUGCUGUGGGUAUGGCCACUGCAGCCAGUGGGGUCAAAUGGAGAGACACACUUCCUGGAAUAGGGAGUUCUAAACUGUCAGCAUCAUUAAUUCUUAGAUCCUGGCCAGUUUCUAUUUCACUGCCACCUCACCGCUUCCCCUACAGCAGUGAUUUCUCUUUUAGUUUGUGGAUUCUUUUAUGAGUUUUCCACCAAAUGCUUUGACUCUGUUAGAAAUGUCACAUGAAAAAAGGAUUUGCUUGUUUGUUUGUUUGUGGCAGGGAUGAACCAUGUUACCAUAUUCAUCAUUCAUCUCCCUCUUAGGCGUAAUCCAUUGAACCAGAUGGAAAAUCACAGACCUUUACUUGCAGUACUGUUCUCCACAGCUUCUGCAUAGCCUUAGUGUUUGUUGUGAAACAGCCAUCACAAACCUCUCCAGAGGAAGGAAUGGUGUGCUUCUAUAAGUGACAUUAUACAUUUUGGGUAUGAAUGACUCAAGUUAGAAGCACCAUAGAGAGAAAGAGGAAAUGAACUGUUGGCUAAUCCAUCUAAUUCAGCUACUUCUGUGGCUCUUAGUAGGUAUUGCUGUUAAUUUCCCAUUUUGUGGAGUACAAUUAAAAUGUAACUCUCACACUUCAGUGUUUCUUCCUACCUUAAUCUUAGAUGUCUACAAGGGAGAUACUGCAGGCUGAGCAAGUUUUCCAAGCUUGUUUACAAAGAGCGAAGUCACUUUCAGAAGGUCAUUUCCCUGUCUGCACAUACAUGACUAACUGGUUCCAAAAUAUUUCACUGGAGGUUCCUUCAUUGGCUCUGUCAUGACUUUGUACACCUUCUUGUUAAUGCACCUUCCUGCUGGAGUUUGUUAAAUGGGAUGUGGGAGUCCUCCUUUAUGAGGAGCAGUGUUUUCUGCUCCUCAUAAAACAAAACAACAGAUGGGUACUGUGUCCAGGUCAUGAGUAUAUUUUAGGAUGACCGUCUUUCUAGGUAGGUAAGAUAAUGGUGAGGUUGAUUACUAAUAAACCCGAAGAAGUUCUAAGAAAAUAAGUUAAGACAAAAGGAUAUUUGUUGAUUCCCAGCUGGGCUUCCAUAGGGUCAAAGUUUUACGCCCGUGAAUCCCUAGUGUGUUCGUAUGGCUCUGCAUUAGUGUAUGAAAAGAUAAGGUGGUGCCAACAUUUCCAUUAUGCUACUUCAUUUGCAAAGUUUUGAAAGUCAGCCAUAAAUAAAAGCACUCUGG